rnacentral:rRNA from 1 species
AGCUGAACCAACAGAUUCACUUCGGUGAUGACGUUGGGAACGCGAGCGGCGGAUGGGUGAGUAACACGUGGGGAACCUGCCCCAUAGUCUGGGAUACCACUUGGAAACAGGUGCUAAUACCGGAUAAGAAAGCAGAUCGCAUGAUCAGCUUAUAAAAGGCGGCGUAAGCUGUCGCUAUGGGAUGGCCCCGCGGUGCAUUAGCUAGUUGGUAGGGUAACGGCCUACCAAGGCAAUGAUGCAUAGCCGAGUUGAGAGACUGAUCGGCCACAUUGGGACUGAGACACGGCCCAAACUCCUACGGGAGGCAGCAGUAGGGAAUCUUCCCCAAUGGACGAAAGUCUGAUGGAGCAACGCCGCGUGAGUGAAGAAGGUUUUCGGAUCGUAAAGCUCUGUUGUUGGUGAAGAAGGAUAGAGGUAGUAACUGGCCUUUAUUUGACGGUAAUCAACCAGAAAGUCACGGCUAACUACGUGCCAGCAGCCGCGGUAAUACGUAGGUGGCAAGCGUUGUCCGGAUUUAUUGGGCGUAAAGCGAGCGCAGGCGGAAGAAUAAGUCUGAUGUGAAAGCCCUCGGCUUAACCGAGGAACUGCAUCGGAAACUGUUUUUCUUGAGUGCAGAAGAGGAGAGUGGAACUCCAUGUGUAGCGGUGGAAUGCGUAGAUAUAUGGAAGAACACCAGUGGCGAAGGCGGCUCUCUGGUCUGCAACUGACGCUGAGGCUCGAAAGCAUGGGUAGCGAACAGGAUUAGAUACCCUGGUAGUCCAUGCCGUAAACGAUGAGUGCUAAGUGUUGGGAGGUUUCCGCCUCUCAGUGCUGCAGCUAACGCAUUAAGCACUCCGCCUGGGGAGUACGACCGCAAGGUUGAAACUCAAAGGAAUUGACGGGGGCCCGC